rnacentral:rRNA from 1 species
GACGAACGCUGGCGGCGUGCCUAAUACAUGCAAGUCGAGCGAACGGACGAGAAGCUUGCUUCUCUGAUGUUAGCGGCGGACGGGUGAGUAACACGUGGAUAACCUACCUAUAAGACUGGGAUAACUUCGGGAAACCGGAGCUAAUACCGGAUAAUAUUUUGAACCGCAUGGUUCAAAAGUGAAAGACGGUCUUGUUGUCACUUAUAGAUGGAUCCGCGCUGCAUUAGCUAGUUGGUAAGGUAACGGCUUACCAAGGCAACGAUGCAUAGCCGACCUGAGAGGGUGAUCGGCCACACUGGAACUGAGACACGGUCCAGACUCCUACGGGAGGCAGCAGUAGGGAAUCUUCCGCAAUGGGCGAAAGCCUGACGGAGCAACGCCGCGUGAGUGAUGAAGGUCUUCGGAUCGUAAAACUCUGUUAUUAGGGAAGAACAUAUGUGUAAGUAACUGUGCACAUCUUGACGGUACCUAAUCAGAAAGCCACGGCUAACUACGUG